rnacentral:lncRNA from 1 species
UAUAGGGGUAAAGUUGGAAUGUUAGAAACUUAUAAAAUGGAGUAGUAGCCUAGGGACUAAAUUUGCCAUUUUAUGAAACUUUGAAGGUACCAAAUUCAAGGGGUGAAAAUUGCAACAUCAUGAAAGUAUAGAGGAGGCAAAGCCGGUGAGAAACCCCACCGACUCCCUUGUUCUUAUAAUAUUUUAAAUUGUUUUAUUUAGCAUAGCAUAUAAUUUAAAUUUAAAUAAUACAUUUUUUAUACAUCAACUUUGAAAAUUUUAAAUAUUGAAACAAUUUUACCUUGAAAACAAACGUUAAAUAUAAUUGGGUCAUUUUGAAGAUCAAUUUUCAUAGACCCACCAAACACUCACAUAUCAUAAACCCCCCACAUCACAAAAGUCCACAAAAUCCACCGUUGAUUCUCUGAAAAGAAAAGAAAAAACAAUGUGUCAACACAAAGCCACCAUUGCAACUACAAUAAUGUAACACCCCCAAAAUAUGCAACUUAUUUAUGGCACCUUAAAUGUCUAAUUUUGUAAUAUUAACUAAGUUAAAAGAAUGUGGUAUUAAUUCAAGAAGAAUGAAAGUUAAUUGAUGAAAGUUUUUAUUAAACAAAAUAAAACACAAAACAC